rnacentral:rRNA from 1 species
UACGUAGGGUCCGAGCGUUGUCCGGAAUUAUUGGGCGUACAGGGCUCGUAGGCGGUCUGUUGCGUCGGGAGUGAAAACUUACAGCUUAACUGUGAGCGUGCUUUCGAUACGGGCAGACUUGAGGCAUUCAGGGGAGAACGGAAUUCCUGGUGUAGCGGUGAAAUGCGCAGAUAUCAGGAGGAACACCGGUGGCGAAGGCGGGUCUCUGGGCCGUAACUGACGCUGAGGAGCGAAAGCGUGGGGAGCGAACAGG